rnacentral:SRP_RNA from 1 species
GCCAGGCACGGUGGCACAUGACUGUAGUCCCAGCUACUCAGGAGGAUGACGUGGGAGGAUCACUUGAGCCCAGGAGUUCUGGGCUGUAGUGGGCUAUGCCGAUCGGGUGUCCGCACUAAGUUUGGCAUCAAUAUGGUGACCUCUCGGGAGCAGGGGACCACCAGGUUGCCUAAGGAGGGGUGAACUGGCCCUGGUCGGACACGGAGCAGGUCAAAACUCCCGUGCUGAUCAGUAGUGGGAUCGUGCCUGCACUCCAGCCUGGGCAACAUAGCAAGACCCAGUCUCU